UAGUCAUAUGCUUGUCCUAAAGAUUAAGCCAUGCAUGUCUAAGUAUAAACACGUUGUACUGUGAAACUGCGAAUGGCUCAUUAUAUCAGUUAUAAUUUAUUUGAUAGUCUCUUUACUACUUGGAUAACCGUGGUAAUUCUAGAGCUAAUACAUGCAAAAAGCCCGACUUUUCGGAAGGGCUGUAUUUAUUAGAUUAAAAACCAACUAUAUUGGUGAUUCAUAAUAACUGUGCGGAUCGCAUGGCCUUGAGCUGGCGACGUUUCAUUCAAAUUUCUGC
rnacentral:rRNA from 1 species